ACCCACGGUUUUCCACUCGCCCACGGCGCCGGGCGACAUGGCGGCCGUGCGCCUAUCCCCACGCCUCCGCUCGAUUCCCCUCCUGCUCCCCGGUCUCGACCCCGCAGCCGCAGUCCACCGCCGCUGCUCCUGCGGUAGCUCGGCCGCCGCCGCCGCCGCGCGCGCCAUGUCCUCCUCCUCCUCCUCCUCCGCGUCGUCGGCACCCACCCCCUACACGACGCUCGUGGGCCGCGUCCGCUGCGAGCGCGAGAUCAAGCGCAGCAAGUUCAUCGCAGUCGCCGCCUCCGUCCCCGACGAGCGCGCCGCCAUGUCCUUCCUCAACGAGGUCAAGGAUCCUCGUGCCACCCAUAAUUGCUGGGCGUACAAGGUGGGAGAACAGUUCCGUUAUAACGAUGACGGCGAACCUUCAAGCACAGCUGGAAAGCCAAUAUACUCUGCCAUCAUUUCAUCUGGCAUAGAUAUGGUCAUGGUGGUUGUAAUAAGAUAUUUUGGAGGCAUAAAACUGGGAACCGGCGGGCUGGUGAGAGCUUAUGGUGGGGUUGCUGCUGAGUGCCUUAAAGAUGCUCCUACUUGUCUUGUGAAGCCCAAGGCUCGUGUGGGCAUGGAAGUACCAUUUGAUCUCUUGGGCAUGGUCUAUAAUCAGCUGCAGCAUUUCCAUGCCGAAGAUAUUAAACAGGACUAUGACACUGGCAAAGAUGGUACAGUUGUUGUCAUGUUCAAAGUAGAAUAUGAAAAAAUUGAGAGUCUUGGAAGCGCAGUGAAUUCAGCUUGCAGCAGGAAAAUUGAAUUAUUACAAUAAGCAGAGGGGAUAAGAUUGAUUGUAGUUUCAAUGCUUAAUUGGCAGCUAGUAUAGCUUCUGUUUGUUGAGUGCAAAGUAGGAAUGGUCGGCAUGGUGGUUGGGAUCGCCGGAAUCGGAAGAGAUGGAACUGUGCCAGGGGCGGUUGGUGCCAUGGCGACCUUCGGGAUAGGAAUGAAUGGUAUUGGCGGCAUUGUCAGUUUUGGAACUGCGGGAAUGGAAGGCAUUGGAGGCGGUGUUGUUGGAGCUUCCGGUGUAGAACGCUGAGCUGGUGUGGCCUCUGGUGCAGCUGCCGUGUCCAAAAGAGGACGAGAUGCCGCAGAGCUGCCAUUGAAGGCUGUGAAGGCUAGGAGCAGCACAAGGAGAUGGUGGACACUGGCAGCCAUGAUGCAGAUAAGGGAGUUGGGAAGUCCUUCGCUUAGCAGAUUGGAUUGAUGGACGGCGGAGUUGCUGGAUUUUCUCUUUGUUCUAAACUUCUGAUGACCAAGAUUGUACACGUAGUUUCGUCCUGCCAGAAGAAAAGCAGCUGGGCAUCCGCCCUGCAAAACUCGAAGCAUCUCUGCAGCUUGGUCACUUUAGGGCAAGGCCAACGCUCCAGGAUGGACCGGUGCCCCAGCUGCCAAGUCGGCUUGGAUAGUUGAACCUGAGAAAAAGAUGCUGCUUGCAGCGCUAGACGGGAUCCUGCAGAGGAGGCUGGUUCUCCCGUGAAAAAAGUGCAAGGCAGCCAAUGGGAAAGCGUUGGAAAACACCAUUGCUGAGCUCAACAGUACCUUGCUACCUUUUUGUACAGAGAAAAAGCUACCAAACCUGAGAACACUACUACUGCUUCCGUUGGAUGAAGGUAGAACUAAACAGUAGCUUCAGUUACCUUUUAUCUAGGUGGAGCAUGGGGCACCAGUAUAGUGAUGCCACUAUUGUACAUGCCCUUACACCUCUAUGUAUACUUUAUCAUAAAUGCCGAAAUGAGACAGUCUGCAGCAUGAGACCAAAAAGACCACAAAACGGAAAAACUGUGGGAAUACCGAGCA